CCAGCAGGAAUGGGUCCCUGGUAUCUUUCUGCGCUUGCGCCACAAGGAAAUGUCACUUCCGACUCUGCGCGCACCUGGCCGGAACCUGCCGGCGCCUGGGAAGUGAGUGAAACCCAGUUUUUGUUUGGAGCGUGAAGUAGUACCCUUCUCUCUGUGUGUCUUGAGGACACGCGCCUCUCUGCGCGAACCCCAACAAUGCGUUCUGUAGCCCAGGCGCUCCUCAGCUUCAAGGGCCAGUGCUGUUCUCGUUCCACCACACCCCUUAGGUCACGCCCCCUCCUCCGCCAGUCUGACUUUGUGCAGCUCCCAGACCCCUCGCACACUCACACCUGUACUUCCCCUAAUCAUCCUCGAGGACUGAUCUUCCCUUAGAGCACUUGCGCGGGGAUGGGGAAGGUGCUUUGGAUGAAGAAGAAGCCUCUCCACCCCACUGAGCGCCUCCUUCUCUGGCCGCCCUUUGCAGACUGUAACCAUGAAGUUCAACCCCUUCUUGACCUCUGACUGCAGCAAAAUCCGCAAGUGCAUUUCAGUGCCCCCUCGCACGUGCGCCGGAAGAUCAUGUCUUCUCUUUCCAAGGAACUGCGGGAGAAAUACAACGUCCGCUCCAUGCCCAAACCCGGGGAUGAUGAGGUCCACGUACAUCCCCCAUCUUCCUCGGGUUCUAGUUACCCAGUUGUGUGGCGUGUGGCCACUUCCUUUGCAUGAAAACAUCCUAUGUGCUUGGACCUGGAGGAGUCAGGGAACGUCAGGUCCUGAAGACUCUAGCAAGACCUUUAACUCUGUUAAUGUGCUAUACCAGAGGUGGAGCCCAGAGCCACUAAAGAGUGCCCGCAGGUCUUUAGUAAUAGUAAAUAAAAUAAACCAGUGGUUCGAGGACACUACAAAGGUCAGCAAAUUGCCAAGGUCUUUCAGGUGUACAGAAAGAAAUAUGUCAUCUACAUCGAGCAAGUGCAGCAUGAGAAGGCUAAUGGCCCAACCAUCCAUGUGGGCAUUCACUCAAGCAAGGUAUGGUCCCUGACUGAGUGGUGGCAGCAGCCAUGUAAAUGGUGUAGAGUUAUUGGCACGUGGUACCAUCUGCACAGGUGGCCAAAGUAAGGGCUUAGCAAGCAGGCUUGAUUGGUUAUCUGUUUUGCCAUCCUGGUGAUAACUUGAAGGUGGUGGCAAGAUGGCUCCAGGCAUCUGAGCAUCACUGUCCCACUGGACAGUGUCUAGAGGGAGAAGGGGAACAUCUCCUCCUGGGACCUUCAUGCCCAUCUGGUAGGAUACGCUGUUCUGCUUUUGCACUCUUGUUUUAUAUUGUGUUAUAGGAUCUGUCUUUUUCCUGAGUUACACAUUUUAAAGGCAGAAUGGUCAGGGUCUUGUCCUUCUAAUCUCUGUAUUACCCAGUAGCUGUUGGGCAUGUAGAUAUUUUUUAAAGCAGUGCAUCUUUCCAGCCAAGGAAUAAUGAACAAAUUUUCUUAACCCAAGUGACAUAUCACUGAUCUAUCUAAAUGGUCAGCUGAAUCCCCAAGAAUUAGCAGGGUGGGAGGCUGGCUAGUAUAAAAAGGAGCCAGGUAUGGUAGCACCUGCUUGUAAUCUCAGCACUUGGGAGGCUGAAGCAGGAGGAUUCUUGCCAGUUCAAGGCCAGCCUGGGCUACAUAGUGAGUUUAAGGCCAGCCUGAACUAUAUAGCGAGACCCUGUCUCAAAAAUAAAUAAAUAAAAUAAAAUAAAUUGUAUAAAAAGGUACCUAAGUGGUGUUUAUUGUCAGGGGAUGCUCUGGUCUUCAGGAUGAUGGUGAUUGUUUGGUUAGUUGGUUGGUUGGUUUUUUGAGACAGAGUCUUCCUAUGUAGUUCAGGCUGGCUUGAACUCGUGGCAGCCUUCUUGUUUCAGGUUCUCAGGUGUUGGGAUUACAUUCUCAGCUAGGGAUGGUGGUGAUUAUAAGUUCUUCAUACCUAAAGAUCUGUUGGUUUUCCUAACAGGUAAUUAUCACCAGGCUAAAACUGGACAAAGACAGAAAAAAAAUUCUUGAACGCAAAGCCAAGUCUCGACAAGUUGAAAAAGAGAAAGGCAAAUACAAGAGCUCAUUGGGAAAAUGCAGGAGUGAAUAUAACCUGUCCUGCAAUCAUGAUUUAACUGCAGAUGUCUAGCCUAGCCUGUUCUUUGCUGGGACUUUUCAAAAUGUCUCUGCAAUGUUUCAUCGCCUUUCUGUUUUGUUACUGAUAUAUGGCUCUGUAAAUCUACUUUUGUGAUUGAUUAAUAAUUUUAUGAAUAAAAUUGGAGCUAUUUCCCAACUCCAAAUGGUAUUUACAUCACUUUAUAAAUGAAAUCCAUCUUAUCAGUUCUGUCCUGCAAGUCUUGCAUAUAUUUGAUCUGUGGACCAGCAAAAGAACAUUGGUAGGGUUAAGCCAGCCUGCCCCUGCCUGAACCGUCAUACCAAUGGAGGAGAAAGGCAUGGCUCUGGUCCCUAAAGCAGAAGUUUGCCUCACUCAGCAGUCGUGACAUGAAUUGGCAUGCUCAAAACACCACGGAGUUCCUAGUCAUGAUGUGAACUGACACACUGAGGCCUCAUGAAAUUCCUGGUGCUCCUUUGUCCUCCCGUCUCCUAGGUAACAAAUUCUGGAGCUAACUCACAAAACUAGCAUCCUCUAGAUGAGAUUUGACUUAGAUGGUUUGUUUUUAUAUUUUUUACAGCUUUUACUAAUUUCCAACAUUUAAGAUGUGUGACACUCCACGGAGAAUCACCUGGCUGCACAGGGCCUGGUUCCCGCAUUGCAUUCAGGUAGUGGAGCUCAGGGGUUGGCUUCUUGCCUGGCCUCCACUGGCAUCUGUUUUAGACUCCAACUGAACUUCAUUCUUGAUUUAGCUCCAGGAUCACAUCUAAAAUCUUCCCUGCCCCUGUGAAAAAUGAUUGAUUAAAAUGCACCCAACAGCAUUUUUUCUUAUGUUUUCAGUACUGUGGAUUGAACCCAAGGCCUCACACAUGCUAGGCAAGUGCUCUACCACUGAACUACAUCUCCAGCCCACUCUUUUGUGACCCACUGUUCCCUAUCUGAGAAGCUAGAAAUGCUUAUCUCUAAGGUUGUGAAAAUUGAAGUAGCAGUCCCCCAGACCCACCUGAUUCAUGAGUUACUUGGGUGCUGUAUUAGUUGCCAUCCUCUUGCCUAGAUUGUAUAUUCAGUAGGUCCAAAGAGAAAUAAUGUGUGUGUGUGUGUCUUAUGUGGAUUGCCUUUUGUUUGUUUUGUUUUUUGUACUGGGCAUUGAACACAGGGCUUUCACACUGAGCUACAUCUCCAACCCCCUUUUUUAUUUUGAUUUGAGUCUUUUUUUUUUCUGGUACCAGGAAUCAAAGUCAGGACUCUGAGCUUGCCAGGCAGGCAUGGCGCCACUGAGCUACAUCUCCAGCCCUCCCCUUUUUUGAGACUGAGUCUCACAAUGUCACUUAAGUUACCCAGGCUGAGCUUAAAUUUGUGAUCUUCCUCACUCAGUCUCCCAGAGCGCUGCGAUUAUAGGCUGUGCCACUAUGCCUAGCUGACUAAUUCUUA
rnacentral:lncRNA from 1 species